AGAAACUUUGACUUAGUGGCGGACGGGUGAGUAAUGCGUGAGCAACCUGCCUUUCAGAGGGGGAUAACACAUAGAAAUGUGUGCUAAUACCGCAUGAAACCAUAGUAUCGCAUGGUAUAAUGGUCAAAGAUUUAUCGCUGAAAGAUGGCCUCGCGUCUGAUUAGCUAGUUGGUGAGGUAACGGCCCACCAAGGCGACGAUCAGUAGCCGGACUGAGAGGUUGAACGGCCACAUUGGGACUGAGAUACGGCCCAGACUCC
rnacentral:rRNA from 1 species